CUUAAAUGAAUUGACGGGACCCGCACAAGCAGCGGAGCGUGUGGUUUAAUUCGUUGCUACACGAAGAACCUUACCUGGGUUUGACAUAUAGGUUGUAGGGAACUGAAAGGGACCGACCCUUCGGGGAGCCUAUACAGGUGUUGCAUGGCUGUCGUCAGCUCGUGUCGUGAGAUGUUGGGUUAAGUCCCGCAACGAGCGCAACCCUCGUCCUAUGUUGCCAGCGGAUAAUGCCGGGGACUCAUAGGAGACCGCCGGGGUCAACUCGGAGGAAGGUGGGAUGACGUCAAGUCAUCAUGCCCCUUAUGUCCAGGGCUUCACGCAUGCUACAAUGGCCGGUACAAAGAGCUGCGAACCUGCAAGGGUGAGCGAAUCUCAAAAAGCCGGUCUCAGUUCGGAUUGGGGUCCGCAACUCGACCCCAUGAAGUCGGAGUCGCUAGUAAUCGCAGAUCAGCAACGCUGCGGUGAAUACGUUCCCGGGGCUU
rnacentral:rRNA from 1 species